AUACCUCACUUUGCCUCACAGCACCUGUUGAGAACCACUGUUCUAGACAACUGAUACUGUACACAAUAAAAGCAAAGUAAAUCCAGAGCCCCACCCCCCCUAACAGACUAUGCCGGCAGUUUAUGAACAUGCAGAUGAGCAAGGAUGAUGAUGAUGAUGAUGAUGAUGAUGAUGGUGGCAAAUCCAGGGCAAAGACAGAGGUGUCUCUAUCAUCUGAAGAAGGAAGUGAUUGUCUUGAACCUCAAGAGAUUGAUGGGCCUUUCAAAAUCAAGACCAAUGACUAUGAUGAAGGUGGUGGUGAUUGUGGUGGUGAUGACGACGGUGAUGAGUGUUCUGGAGAAGUCUCUGCUGAAAAAGAAUUUGAGAGCAUUAGUGACAGAUGUGUUGUA